rnacentral:rRNA from 1 species
AUUGAACGCUGGCGGCAGGCCUAACACAUGCAAGUCGAGCGGAUGAAGGGAGCUUGCUCCUGGAUUCAGCGGCGGACGGGUGAGUAAUGCCUAGGAAUCUGCCUGGUAGUGGGGGAUAACGUCCGGAAACGGGCGCUAAUACCGCAUACGUCCUGAGGGAGAAAGUGGGGGAUCUUCGGACCUCACGCUAUCAGAUGAGCCUAGGUCGGAUUAGCUAGUUGGUGGGGUAAAGGCCUACCAAGGCGACGAUCCGUAACUGGUCUGAGAGGAUGAUCAGUCACACUGGAACUGAGACACGGUCCAGACUCCUACGGGAGGCAGCAGUGGGGAAUAUUGGACAAUGGGCGAAAGCCUGAUCCAGCCAUGCCGCGAGUGUGAAGAAGGUCUUCGGAUUGUAAAGCACUUUAAGUUGGGAGGAAGGGCAGUAAGUUAAUACCUUGCUGUUUUGACGGUACCAACAGAAUAAGCACCGGCUAACUUCGUG